rnacentral:tRNA from 1 species
GACACCAUAGCCAAGUGGUUACGACGACAGAUUCGGAUAAACAGAAGCAGUGUGUUUCCCUUCGGGAGCGCAGGUUCGAAUCCUACUGGUGUCG